UACAGAGGUCUCAAGCGUUGUUCGGAUUCAUUGGGCGUAAAGCGCGUGUAGGCGGCCAGGUAGGUCCGAUGUGAAAUCUGGAGGCUCAACCUCCAGCGGUCAUUGGAAACCAUCUGGCUAGAGUCCGGAAGAGGAGAGUGGAAUUCCUGGUGUAGCGGUGAAAUGCGCAGAUAUCAGGAAGAACACCAAUGGCGAAGGCAGCUCUCUGGGACGGUACUGACGCUGAGACGCGAAAGCGUGGGGAGCGAACAGG
rnacentral:rRNA from 1 species